GGAGAAGGGACAGCUGAGUAACAAAGUCCUGGUACGCAGACGACGAUACUAUUACACUGACAAUAGUAUAAUGAUGAUGGAGACACAAGCCAGAGAAAGGGGGGACCAAACACCAGGCCAGAAUUCUGCAUGAGUCAGAUCCAGUGGGUGCAGAUCAUCAUACAGAUGGUUCAAGUGUGGAUCCACCUAAUAUUCAAGAUUUUCUGUCCUGGGACACUCGGCUAACCAUCAAGAAAGAACACACUCCAGUGGGCAUCCUUUAUCCAUCCAGACCCUCAUACAGAUGGUUGGAGUUUUGAUUCACCUAAAGUACCAUGCAAGAGCACUCAUUUUCCCUCUUGAGACCAUGGUGUGACCUGCAAGGUCGAAUGGAGACUGUAGACGAGACAAUCUUGGAGUCACCUGCUUUCCCUGGUCCAGUUGUUAGUCCAAUUACAGAUGGAGAUUAUAGAAGAGGAUGAUGUCUUUUCUCCAACAUCUUUCUAGACUGAUAAAAGAUCUAGACAGGCUCAAACAAAAGUUAACAGACAGAGGGGCUUAUAUAGAGAAUGGUGAGCAGCUACACAUAAAAGAAGAACAUGGAGAAUCUGCCCAGAGGUGUUAACCAGCAAUGCAGCUAUACAACUAAAUUGAUGCAGGCGGAAACAAUGUGUAAUGCAGCUGCUGCAGAUGAAGAAUCCGUCCGUCUACCACUGAAGGAGACGCGGAAAAUUCCAUCCAAGAUGUUCUUUGCCAGAGGAAGCAUUUGAUUAAUUUAAAGAUAUUGUGUUUCUUUGUAUCUUAUAGAAAAAC